AUGAUCAGAAUGGAUUUGAAAUGGUGCCCCAUGUUUAGCAAGCUCAAAUGCUUGUUGCUGAACAAAUGGUGUGUGGCUGAUUAUUUCACUGGAUUGGUUUACUUCCUACAGCACUCACCAAUUCUAGAGACGCUGACACUUCUGCUUGAUUUUCAAACUCACGAGAAAUGGCAUGUGAUGGAAACAUAUGGAAUCUAUGACCCAAAGGAACAAUCACCACUAUUGAAGCAUCUCAAGGUAGUCAAAAUCAUACGCAGCUCGACAAAGGAAGAUGUUAUAGUUGACCGUAUCCUAAAGAUACUCUCUGCCCAUGGAGUGCCUUCCGAGCAAAUUGACAUCCAAUAG
rnacentral:rRNA from 1 species